rnacentral:rRNA from 1 species
UGGUUUGUGGAUGAAGAAUAGGGGGUAGAAUCUUUAUUUUAUGGCUGUUUCUCUGCAGUUCAGUUAGAAGGCUAUUUGUAAGAUGGGGAUUAGAGACCCCCGUAUUGAGUGGGUUAUUUUGUGUCCAUAGUUUAAACUAAAAAAACUUGGCAGCUGAUGAGGUUCUUCCGGGGGAGUGUGUGUCGUAAGAGAUAGUCCGCUUAGUUAUUUACCGCCUCCAGUUAAGUUAGUGUAUAUCCGGCUUAAUAUUCGUGGUUAGCGCUAGGGGUGGAUCUAAAGUUAGUUAAGUCAGGUCG